AGCGAACGCUGGCGGCAGGCUUAACACAUGCAAGUCGAGCGGGCGUAGCAAUACGUCAGCGGCAGACGGGUGAGUAACGCGUGGGAACAUACCUUUUGGUUCGGAACAACACAGGGAAACUUGUGCUAAUACCGGAUAAGCCCUUACGGGGAAAGAUUUAUCGCCGAAAGAUUGGCCCGCGUCUGAUUAGCUUGUUGGUGAGGUAACGGCUCACCAAGGCGACGAUCAGUAGCUGGUCUGAGAGGAUGAUCAGCCACAUUGGGACUGAGACACGGCCCAAACUCCUACGGGAGGCAGCAGUGGGGAAUAUUGGACAAUGGGCGCAAGCCUGAUCCAGCCAUGCCGCGUGAGUGAUGAAGGCCCUAGGGUUGUAAAGCUCUUUUACCCGGGAAGAUAAUGACUGUACCGGGAGAAUAAGCCCCGGCUAACUUCGUGCCAGCCGCCGCCGUAAC
rnacentral:rRNA from 1 species